rnacentral:misc_RNA from 1 species
UUUCUUUCUCAUGAUGCAUGAACUUUAUUAUAACUUAGAAAUUAUAAAAAUGGAGAAAAUAGAGCGAAGGAAUCCGAAUGUUGAAGACUACAAGAGCCUUUAAGAGGAAUAUUCAUAAACCCAUAUCAAUAAGGAACACAAAUGAAAGUAGUAAAGGAACAAAAAAGCAAAAGAAAAGAAUCAAAAUGUGUGAUGAAAUGGAGAAAAGAAUCAAAAUCCGGUGGAAUUGAUGAGAUAUUGAGGAAGAAUAUGGCAAAAAUCGGUGGCAGUGAAAGUAUGAGAUGCUCUUAAAGUCUUUGUCUCAUAAAUUCAUCUCUGCCUUUGAAACAAAAAUUUCUUGGUGUCCCAAGGAGGUCGGA